UACGGGGGAUCCAAGCGUUAUCCGGAUUUAUUGGGUUUAAAGGGUGCGUAGGCGGCUUUUUAAGUCAGGGGUGAAAGACGGUGGCUCAACCAUCGCAGUGCCCUUGAUACUGAAGAGCUUGAAUGAACUAGAGGUAGGCGGAAUGUGACAAGUAGCGGUGAAAUGCAUAGAUAUGUCACAGAACACCGAUUGCGAAGGCAGCUUACUAUGGUUAUAUUGACGCUGAGGCACGAAAGCGUGGGGAUCAAACAGG
rnacentral:rRNA from 1 species